GACGAACGCUGGCGGCGUGCUUAACACAUGCAAGUCGAACGGAAAGGCCCUGCUUUUGUGGGGUGCUCGAGUGGCGAACGGGUGAGUAACACGUGAGUAACCUGCCCUUGACUUUGGGAUAACUUCAGGAAACUGGGGCUAAUACCGGAUAGGAGCUCCUGCUGCAUGGUGGGGGUUGGAAAGUUUCGGCGGUUGGGGAUGGACUCGCGGCUUAUCAGCUUGUUGGUGGGGUAGUGGCUUACCAAGGCUUUGACGGGUAGCCGGCCUGAGAGGGUGACCGGCGACAUUGGGACUGAGAGACGGCGCAGACGCCUACGGGCGGCAGCAGGGGGGAAUAUUGCACAAUGGGCGGAAGCGUGAUGCAGCAACGUCGCGUGCGGGAUGACGUCCUUCGGGGUGUAAACAGCUUUCGCCGGUGACGAAGCGUGAGUGACGGUAAUGGGUAAAGAAGCACCGGCUAACUACGUG
rnacentral:rRNA from 1 species